rnacentral:rRNA from 1 species
CCUACGGGAGGCAGCAGUAGGGAAUAUUGCUCAAUGGGGGAAACCCUGAAGCAGCAACGCCGCGUGGAGGAUGAAGGUUUUCGGAUUGUAAACUCCUUUUGUUAGAGAAGAUAAUGACGGUAUCUAACGAAUAAGCACCGGCUAACUCCGUGCCAGCAGCCGCGGUAAUACGGAGGGUGCAAGCGUUACUCGGAAUCACUGGGCGUAAAGAGGGCGUAGGCGGGAUAGCAAGUCAGCUGUGAAAUCCUAUGGCUUAACCAUAGAACUGCAUUUGAAACUGUUAUUCUAGAGUAUGGGAGAGGUAGGUGGAAUUCUUGGUGUAGGGGUAAAAUCCGUAGAGAUCAAGAGGAAUACUCAUUGCGAAGGCGACCUGCUAGAACAUAACUGACGCUGAUGCGCGAAAGCGUGGGGAGCAAACAGGAUUAGAUACCCGAGUAGUC